rnacentral:rRNA from 1 species
AACGAACGCUGGCGGCAGGCCUAACACAUGCAAGUCGAACGGAUGUAGCAAUACAUUAGUGGCGCACGGGUGCGUAACACGUGGGAAUGUACCCUCUGGUAAGGAAUAAUAUUUGGAAACGAAUACUAAUACCUUAUAAUAUCUUCGGAUCAAAGAUUUAUCGCCAGAGGAUCAGCCCGCGUCUGAUUAGCUGGUUGGGGAGGUAAUGGCUCACCAAGGCGACGAUCAGUAGCUGGUCUGAGAGGAUGAUCAGCCACACUGGGACUGAGACACGGCCCAGACUCCUACGGGAGGCAGCAGUGAGGAAUAUUGCGCAAUGGAGGAAACUCUGACGCAGCCAUGCCGCGUGAGUGAAGAAGGCCUUAGGGUUGUAAAGCUCUUUCAAUGGUGAAGAUAAUGACGGUAGCCAUAGAAGAAGCCCCGGCUAAAUUCGUGCCAGCCGCCGCAGUAA